UACGGGGGGGCAAGCGUUGUUCGGAAUUACUGGGCGUAAAGGGCUCGUAGGUGGCCAACUAAGUCAGACGUGAAAUCCCCAGGCUCAACCUGGGAACUGCGUCUGAUACUGGAUGGCUUGAAUCCGGGAGAGGGAUGCAGAAUUCCAGGUGUAGCGGUGAAAUGCGUAGAUAUCUGGAGGAAUACCGGUGGCGAAGGCGGCAUCCUGGACCGGCAUUGACGCUGAGGAGCGAAAGCUAGGGGAGCAACGGGG
rnacentral:rRNA from 1 species